AUUGAACGCUGGCGGCAGGCCUAACACAUGCAAGUCGAACGAGUGGCGGACGGGUGAGUAAUGUCUGGGAAACUGCCUGAUGGAGGGGGAUAAAUACUGGAAACGGUAGCUAAUACCGCAUACCAUCAGAUGUGCCCAGAUGGGAUUAGCUUGUGGGUGGGGUAACGGCUCACCAAGGUGACUAUCCCUAGAUGGUCUGAGAGGGUGACCAGCGACACUGGAACGGGUACACGGUCCAGACUCCGACGGGAGGCAGCAGUAGGGAAUAUUGCACAAUGGGCGCAAGCCGGAUGCAGCAAUGCCGCGUGUAUGAAGAAGGCCUUCGGGUUUUAAAGUACUUUCAGCGGGGAGGCGUUACCCGCAGAAGAAGCACCGGCUAACCCCUUGCCAGCCGCCGCGGUAAUUC
rnacentral:rRNA from 1 species